rnacentral:rRNA from 1 species
GAUGAACGCUGGCGGCGUGCCUAAUACAUGCAAGUCGAGCGAAUGGAUUAAGAGCUUGCUCUUAUGAAGUUAGCGGCGGACGGGUGAGUAACACGUGGGUAACCUGCCCAUAAGACUGGGAUAACUCCGGGAAACCGGGGCUAAUACCGGAUAACAUUUUGAACCGCAUGGUUCGAAAUUGAAAGGCGGCUUCGGCUGUCACUUAUGGAUGGACCCGCGUCGCAUUAGCUAGUUGGUGAGGUAAAGGCUCACCAAGGCAACGAUGCGUAGCCGACCUGAGAGGGUGAUCGGCCACACUGGGACUGAGACACGGCCCAGACUCCUACGGGAGGCAGCAGUAGGGAAUCUUCCGCAAUGGACGAAAGUCUGACGGAGCAACGCCGCGUGAGUAAUGAAGGCUUUCGGGUCGUAAAACUCUGUUGUUGGGGAAGAACAAGUGCUAGUUGAAUAAGCUGGCACCUUGACGGUACCUAACCAGAAAGCCACGGCUAACUACGUGCCAGCAGCCGCAGUAA